UCCUCACUCUCAACUGAAUAACCCACCGGAAGUUUGGCAUCAUCAGCAUCCUCCAUCUCUGUGUCAUUUUCAGCAUCCCCAACAAUCACAGACAACUCAGUGCCAUCAUCCUGGUUUGCAACCAAUCCAAUCAGAUCACCAGACCUAGGGUGAUGAUUUUUCUCGUUGAUUGGGUUAUAUGAAGAUCCAGGAUUCUUAAGAACAGAAGAAGCCUCUUCAAUUACAAUCUGGUCUGCAAGAGCUCCCUCAGUGGAAACCUUAGGUGGAAAAUUCGAAGUAUUGCCUACAGGAAUUAUUUCAGCCUUUUCGGAAGCAACAGAAUCACUGGAGCCAGUAGGAUUUACGGCAUCGUUUUUCUCAGGAUCAAGAACACACUUCAGAUCAUCAGAUUUAGAUGUCUGACACCCUUUUUCUAGAAAAUUUCCAGAUGUGGAAACACUCAUCUCCAAAGUGCUUUUAGCCACAGAAUCAUUCAGAUUUUCUGGUACCUCAGUACUAGUUUUAGAAAAGUUGCCAUCACCAUCAGAUUCAGCGGAAUUAGGAGUAAUGCAACAAUCCAAAUCAACACCGCUAGAUCUAUGGAUUUCAGGUGACUCAGUUUUCCUUGGAGAACCCUCUUCUUUGGAUGCUGAAGGCAUUUCGGAAUCUUCAACAACAUUAACAGGAAAAAUUGGAACAGUUUUCAAAGAAUCCUUUGAUCUCAGUCCAACAAUAUUUUCAGUCAUCGUCAUGGCUCCAGGAGAAACCGAAGGUGAUAUCGAUGCCCCUUCCUGUUUGUUAGAAGCCUCAGCGAAAUCAGCGGUAGGAGCUGGUAACAUUUGCCCAGAACCAUCAUCCUGAGACUUUAGUGGUCGACUUUCUUUGUUUAUCUCAAGCAAAUCCUUCUCCACAAGGGUUUCCGAAUCAAUGGCGACAGUGCCUUGAGCUGAAGUAUCAUCAGACUGAUCAACAGGAGUAAUGCGACAAUCCAAAUCAACACCGCUAGAUCUAUGGAUUUCAGGUGACUCAGUUUUCUUUGGAGAACCUUGUUCAUUGGAUACUGAAUGCAUUUUGGAAUCUUCAACAACAUUAGCAGGAAAAACUGGAACAGAUUCCAAGGAAUCGUUUGAUCUCAGUCCAACCAUAUUUUCAAUCAUCGUCCUUGCUCCAGGAGAAACCGAAGGUGAUAUCGAUGCCCCUGCCUGUUUGUUAGAAGCCUCAGCGAUAUCAGCGUUAGGACCAGCAUCCUCAGACUCUAGUGGUCGACUUUCUUUAUUUAUCUCAAGUAAAUCCUUCUCCACAAGGUUUUCCGAAUCAAUGGGGAUAGUGCCUUGACCUGAAGUAUCAUCAGGCUGAUCAACAGGAGUAAGGCGACAAUCCAAAUCAACACCGCUAGAUCUAUGGAUUUCAGGUGACUCAGUUUUCUUUGGAGAACUCUGUUCAUUGGAUGCUGAAGGCAUUUCGGAAUCUUCAACAACAUUAACAGGAAAAAUUGGAACAGUUUCCAAAGAAUCCUUUGAUCUCAGUCCAACAAUAUUUUCAGUCAUCGUCAUGGCUCCAGGAGAAACCGAAGGUGAUAUCGAUGCCCCUUCCUGUUUGUUAGAAGCCUCAGCGAAAUCAGCGGUAGGAGCUGGUAACAUUUGCCCAGAACCAUCAUCCUGAGACUUUAGUGGUCGACUUUCUUUGUUUAUCUCAAGCAAAUCCUUCUCCACAAGGGUUUCCGAAUCAAUGGCGACAGUGCCUUGAGCUGAAGUAUCAUCAAUCUGAUCAACAGGAGUAAUGCGAGAAUCCAAAUCAACACCGCUAGAUCUACGGAUUUCAGGUGAAGCAGUUUUCUUUGGAGAACCCUGUUCAUUGGAUGCUGAAGGCAUUUUCGAAUCUUCAACAACUUUAACAGGAAAAACUGGAACACUUUCCAAG
rnacentral:lncRNA from 1 species